rnacentral:rRNA from 1 species
AUACGGAGGGUGCAAGCGUUAAUCGGAAUUACUGGGCGUAAAGCGCACGCAGGCGGUCAAUUAAGUCAGAUGUGAAAGCCCCGAGCUUAACUUGGGAAUUGCAUCUGAAACUGGUUGGCUAGAGUUUUGUAGAGGGGGGUAGAAUUCCACGUGUAGCGGUGAAAUGCGUAGAGAUGUGGAGGAAUACCGGUGGCGAAGGCGGCCCCCUGGACAAAGACUGACGCUCAGGUGCGAAAGCGUGGGGAGCAAACAGGAUUAGAUACCCUGGUAGUCCACGCUGUAAACGAUGUCGAUUUAGAGGUUGUGGUCUUGAACUGUGGCUUCUGGAGCUAACGCGUUAAAUCGACCGCCUGGGGAGUACGGCCGCAAGGUUAAAACUCAAAUGAAUUGACGG